UACGGAGGAGGCAAGCGUUAUCCGGAAUUAUUGGGCGUAAAGCGUCCGCAGGCGGCGAUUCAAGUCUGCGGUCAAAGACUGGGGCUUAACCCUGGAAAGGCCGUGGAAACUGAAAAGCUAGAGUGCAGUAGGGGUAGAGGGAAUUCCCGGUGUAGCGGUGAAAUGCGUAGAGCUCGGGAAGAACAUCGGUGGCGAAGGCGCUCUGCUGGACUGCAACUGACGCUCAGGGACGAAAGCUAGGGGAGCGAAUGGG
rnacentral:rRNA from 1 species